CCUACGGGAGGCAGCAGUGAGGAAUAUUGGUCAAUGGACGAGAGUCCGAACCAGCCAAGUAGCGUGAAGGAUGACUGCCCUAUGGGUUGUAAACUUCUUUUAUCUGGGAAUAAAAUGUUCCACGUGUGGGAUUUUGUAUGUACCAUAUGAAUAAGGAUCGGCUAACUCCGUGCCAGCAGCCGCGGUAAUACGGAGGAUCCGAGCGUUAUCCGGAUUUAUUGGGUUUAAAGGGAGCGUAGGAGGUGUGUUAAGUCAGUUGUGAAAGUUUGGGGCUCAACCGUAGAAUUGCAGUUGAAACUGGCAGUCUUGAGUACAGUAGAGGUGUGCGGAAUUCGUGGUGUAGCGGUGAAAUGCUUAGAUAUCACGAAGAACUCCGAUUGCGAAGGCAGUUCACUGGACUGCAACUGACACUGAGGCUCGAAAGUGUGGGUAUCGAACAGGAUUAGAUACCCGGGUAGUC
rnacentral:rRNA from 1 species